GCCCCCUUAGCUCAGGGGAUAGAGCAACGGCCUCCGGAGCCGUGCGCGCAGGUUCGAAUCCUGCAGGGGGCG
rnacentral:tRNA from 2 species